UCGCCGGCGGGCACCUACUUUUUAGGGUUUCGGUUCGAGCUCGUCCAUCCCAGCACCUUGUGCCUACGGUCGCGAUGCUGGCCGCCCGGAAUCCCUCGCCGAGCUUCCACGCGCACGACCGCCCUCCACCGCCGGCACAUGACAUCGCGGAGCGCCUCAGCCAUCUACGCGAUCUUCGCAGGGAACCGCUCCCCAGACGCGUCGCCCGCAUCGCCGACCUCCACACCGAUGAGGCCAGCCCCGUGCGCAAGCAUGUAGCCGAGAUCAUUGGUGUGGUCGGGUCAAAACACAUGGAGUACCUACCAGAUAUCAUCCCUUGUUUGCUGCAUCUUCUGAAUGAUGAGGCGCCUCCAGUUGUCAGGCAAGCUAUCAAAACAGGAACCACCUUGUUUGCCAAGCUGAUCCAACGCCUAGUUAUCCAGGGAUUAUUCUCCACUGGGGGGAUUGAUGAUGCCCUUAAAUCGUCAUGGGAGUGGCUGCUCAAAUUCAAAUCUGCUGUCUCUCUCAUGGCAUUUCAGACCACUGGCAAUGAAGGUGUCAGGUUACUGGCUGUUAAGUUUGUUGAAAAAACAGUUCUUAUGUACACACCGGAUCCUAAUAUCCCAUCAGAUCCACCAAGCGAAGCUACGAAAGAUAUGGGAUUCAAUGUAGCAUGGUUACGAGGAGGUCACCCUUUGCUUAAUGUCGGGGAUCUAGCCAUGGAAGCCAGCCAGAACCUCGGAUUGUUGCUAGAGCAGCUCAAGUCUCCUAAAGUAAAAUCACUCAGUACUUCCAUGAUCAUUGUCUUCAUUACUAGUCUCUCAGCUAUUGCCCAAAGAAGGCCUUCCUUUUACGGACGCAUACUGCCAGUUUUACUUUCCUUGGAUCCAGCAAGUUCAAUUAUUAAAUUGCGGGUCCCAGGUGCAUUCCAUGCUUUGAAGAGUGCCUUUUCUGCAUGCCUGGAAUGUACACAUUCAAGUGCUGAGCCGUGGCGAGCACGUCUAUUGGAAGCUCAAAAUAUUAUCAACCAGGGGGGUUCAAUAGAAGAUACAGCAAAUGCUGGCAAGAAUUUUGGGGACACAUCAAACAGGGAAGAAUCAUGGCCUCUGAUGGAGAGAAGCACCGAUAGUAGUAACAAGCGAAGUCUGGCUGAGGACAGGAAUCAUAUGACAGAAGAUGAUGGUCACUCCAGUAAAAGAGUCAGACAUUCACUUGAUGUUCAAGAACAUAGUGAAGAGGCAAGCAAUAGAAAUGUUGAGUCAACUUCUGUUGAUAUCUCAUCUAGCCAGCCCAUCUCUAUAAGAACUGGGAAUUCAGAAGCUGUGUACCAAUUAAUUGGUAUGUUUGCGGCACUAGCUGCACAAGGUGACAGAGCUGCUGGAUCACUGCAAAUCCUUUCAUCCAGUAUCGCUAGUGAUUUGUUAGCAGAGGUCGUAAUGGUUAACAUGCAACACAUCCCUAUUUCUCGUCCUGAAGCUGACCAACACCAGCUUCCUUCUACUAGCUCUGGGGAUGGAAUUCCAUUGUCAAGUUCCUUCUCUCUGUUGGCGUCUCUAUUGAAGAGAGCGGGUCAAAUUGAUCAAUAUGAAGUGCCUCCAGCUAAGGAAUCUGCAGUAGUGUUAUCUGACGCAGAUGAUAUCAUGACAGUUCCUGCUAGUUCACCUGUUCCUAGUUCAGUAAAUCUUCCCAUGGAAGAGAACAGCAGUCCCACUGUUCCAUGUAUGGAAACAGCAGAGGUCAAAGUAACCAGUGCAGGUGCCAAAAGUUUGGUUGAUAUUCUAGAAUCAUCAGAGACUUCCCAUGCUUCAACAGAACCUCAGGGAACCCAAGAGCAUGCUAGCAGUUUUAUCAGUUCAUUGCCUGCUGAUAAUUCCUCUGCUGGUCUUAGUUUGGCUCAGUCUUCAGAAACUCGCAGCCCAAGCUCUUCUAUACUGGAAGCAAACAACUCACAGCUUUCAUCUUUGAAUUCCCUUGGUUCACAAUAUGCCCUUCCAAAGUUUGUUGUCAAUAACAUUGAUCUCAGCGACGAGGCCAAAGAUCUGCUUCAAAAAGAAUCAUUUUUGCGUAUUCUUGAGAGUGAUAAGCAAGAAGCAACUGCUGGCUCAAUUGCUCGCCUUCCGUUGCUUGCUCACUUGGGUGUUGAGUUUCCUCUGGAAUUGGACCCAUGGGAGCUUCUCCAAAAGCAUGUCCUCUCUGAUUACGCAAAUAAUGAGGGGCACGAGUUGACUUUAUGCAUCCUGAACCGGUUAUAUCGUGAGGCCGAGCAGGAUCAAGAUUUUCUUUCAUCUAGAACUGCUACAUCAGUUUACGAAUCCUUUCUUCUGACUGUAGCUGAAAGUCUUCGAGACAUGUUUCCGGCUUCAGAUAAGUCACUUGGCAAAUUGCUUUGUGAGAUACCAUACUUACCAGAAGGUGUGUUGAAACUUCUAGAAGGUUUGUGUUCUCCUGAAAGUAAUGAGAAGCAGGACAAGGAUAUCCAGAGUGGUGAUAGGGUAACUCAAGGUCUCAGUGCUGUCUGGAACCUUAUCAUGCUAAGACCUUUAAAUCGGAACAGAUGUCUGGAGAUUGCUUUGCAGAGUUCAACUCAUCAUUUAGAGGAGGUCCGCAUGAAGGCAAUACGUUUGGUAGCAAAUAAGUUAUUUCCCAUGGCAAGCAUUUCCAAAAAGAUUGAAGAUUUUGCAAAAGAAAAACUUAAUUCAGUUCUAGAAGUGAUUCCAUCUGGUGAUUCUGCAGCUACUGAAACAGCUACACCUGAAGCACACAAUGAUGGUGUUUUAGAAAAUUUAUCAGCUUCAGUGGCAGAUGCUCAAACUCUAAUGUCGCUGUAUUUUGCAUUGUGCACCAAGAAACAUUCCCUCCUCAGACAUGUAUUUGCAAUAUACAGCAGUCUACCUCAAGCUGCCAAGCAGGCAGUUCACCGACAAGUACCAAUUCUAAUACGCACAAUAGGCUCCUCUCCUGAUCUUCUUGGGAUCAUCUCAGAUCCACCAGGUGACUGCCAGGACCUCCUAAUGCAGGUUUUACAAACCCUCACUGAUGCUGCAGUUCCAUCCAAAGAAUUGACUUCUUCCAUAAAGAACAUAUAUUCUAAAACAAAGGAUGUUGAAUUCCUUUUUGCAAUCUUGUCUCAUCUGCCAAAAGACGAGGUCCUGCCUGUGUUCCCAAGUAUUGUUAAUCUUCCCAUGGACAAGUUUCAAGCUGCCCUUUCACGAAUCUUGCAGGGAUCAUCUCGGAAUGGCCCUUCUCUUGACCCAUCAGAAAUUUUAAUUGCAAUUCAUGUAAUAGAUCCUGAUAAGGAAGGAAUACCACUCAAAAAGGUUAUGGAUGCAUGCUCUGCUUGCUUCGAGCAAAGAACAAUAUUCACCCAGCAAGUUUUGGCAAAAGCACUAAAUCAACUGGUUGAGCAAAUUCCUCUUCCUUUGCUAUUCAUGAGGACUGUUAUGCAAGCAAUAGGUGUUUUUCCUGCAUUGGUGGAUUUUGUGAUGGAGAUCAUGUCUCGCCUUGUGAGCAAGCAGAUUUGGAAAUAUCCUAAGUUAUGGGUAGGAUUUCUGAAGUGUGCUAUCUUGACGAAACCUCAGUCAUAUGGUGUGUUACUGCAGGUUGGCACGCAUCAUCUCUUACAUGACCUAUUUGUUUGUGUAUGCAUUAUGCUCAAUCCUCAUCUAGGAGUUAUUUUACACCGGAUAUGCUAAUUUCUUAGUAGGCUCAAGGGCCCAUGAACUUACCAGCUCCUCAACUUGAGAAUGCCUUGAGUAAGAAUCCCACACUGAAGGCACCCUUGGUUGAGCACGCUGAGCAACCAAAUGUUCGAUCUACUCUUCCAAGGUCCACUUUGGUGGUUCUGGGUCUUGCUGAAGAUCAACAGCAACCGGCACCAGCAGUAAGUCAAGCGCAGAGCAGCCAAAACCAGGCUGCCGAGACCAGUAGCUCUGCCGCAGAUAUAACUACAGAAGUAACUCAGGAGUCUUCUGCUGCUAGUUAGCAUGUUUGUGAAAUGUGAAGUGAAAGCCUUGCUCCAAGAUAUGAUGGCCUAAAGGGGAAGAAGAUGGCGAGACCCCAUAGGGAAUCUGACGAAACCUAAUUUAUUUUAUUUAGUUGAUGGAUAAUUUUAAUGACCAUGUAUGUAAAGCAAAGAGGUGAACAUUACAUUUCCUUGGAUAGGGAUAGGAAUUCUGCUAGUUUAUCCAUAUUUCACAGCUAGUGAGUCGAAGGGCCACUUGGAAUUUCUGGAUCUUCCAAGAAGGGAAAGACAUAGAUUUUCAUUCCAAUAUAUCCUGCUUUUUUUUUAUGUCUGAACCA